rnacentral:rRNA from 1 species
GAUGAACGCUGGCGGCGUGCUUAACACAUGCAAGUCGAACGAAGCGACUGUGAUUGAGACUUCGGUUGAUUGACCAGUUGACUUAGUGGCGGACGGGUGAGUAACGCGUGGGUAACCUGCCUUACACAGGGGGAUAACAGUUAGAAAUGACUGCUAAUACCGCAUAACCCGCUAGGGUCGCAUGACCUGGACGGAAAAGAUUUAUCGGUGUAAGAUGGACAUGCGUUGUAUUAGUUAGUUGGUGAGGUAACGGCUCACCAAGACGACGAUACAUAGGGGGACUGAGAGGUUAACCCCCCACACUGGUACUGAGACACGGACCAGACUCCUACGGGAGGCAGCAGUGAGGAAUAUUGGUCAAUGGACGCAAGUCUGAACCAGCCAUGCCGCGUGCAGGAAGACGGCUCUAUGAGUUGUAAACUGCUUUUGUACAAGGGUAAACCCCGAUACGUGUAUCGGGCUGAAAGUACUGUACGAAUAAGGAUCGGCUAACUCCGUG